rnacentral:tRNA from 1 species
GCGAGCGUAGCCAAGUGGUUAAGGCAGUGGUUUGUGGUACCACCAUUCGCGGGUUCGAGCCCCGUCGUUCGCC